AUACGGAGGGUCCAAGCGUUAUCCGGAAUCAUUGGGUUUAAAGGGUUCGUAGGCGGGUCAAUAAGUCAGAGGUGAAAUCUUGCAGCUUAACUGUAAAAUUGCCUUUGAAACUGUUGACCUUGAAUUACUGUGAAGUGGUUAGAAUAUGUAGUGUAGCGGUGAAAUGCUUAGAGAUUACAUAGAAUACCGAUUGCGAAGGCAGAUCACUAACAGUAUAUUGACGCUGAUGAACGAAAGCGUGGGUAGCGAACGGGAUUAGAAACCCCUGUAGUCC
rnacentral:rRNA from 1 species